rnacentral:rRNA from 1 species
UACGUAGGGACCAAGCGUUGUUCGGAUUUACUGGGCGUAAAGCGUGCGCAGGCGGUUUUGUAAGCCAGAUGUGAAAUCCCCGGGCUUAACCUGGGAAUGGCAUUUGGGACUGCAAGGCUUGAGUGCGGCAGAGGAGACUGGAAUUCCUGGUGUAGCAGUGAAAUGCGUAGAUAUCAGGAGGAACACCGAUGGCGAAGGCAGGUCUCUGGGCUGACACUGACGCUCAUGCACGAAAGCGUGGGGAGCAAACAGG